rnacentral:misc_RNA from 1 species
AGCAGCCGCGGUAAUUCCAGCUCCAAUAGCGUAUAUUAAAGUUGUUGCAGUUAAAAAGCUCGUAGUUGAAUUUCGGGGUUAGCAGGUCGGUCGUGCCAUCGGUAUGAACUGGUCUCGCUGAUCCCUCCCUCUUGACGAACUGUGAUGCCAUUAAUUUGGUGUCGCAGGGAAUCAGGACUGUUACUUUGAAAAAUUAGAGUGUUUAAAGCAGGCUCACGCUUGAAUACAUUAGCAUGGAAUAAUGAAAUAGGACGUUUGAUCCUAUUUUGUUGGUUUCUAGGAUUGACGUAAUGAUUAAUAGGGAUAGUUGGGGGCAUUAGUAUUCAAUUGUCAGAGGUGAAAUUCUUGGAUUUAUUGAAGACUAACUACUGCGAAAGCAUUUGCCAAGGAUGUUUUCAUUAAUCAAGAACGAAAGUUAGGGGAUCGAAGACGAUCAGAUACCGUCGUAGUCUUAACCAUAAACUAUGCCGACUAGGGAUCGGAUGAUGUUAAUUUUUUAAUGUACUCAUUCC